rnacentral:rRNA from 1 species
UACAGAGGUGGCAAGCGUUGUUCGGAAUUACUGGGCGUAAAGGGCGCGUAGGCGGUUCGUUAAGUCCUGUGUGAAAUCCCCCGGCUCAACUGGGGAACUGCACAGGAAACUAGCGGGCUUGAGUUCGGGAGAGGGAAGCGGAAUUCCGGGUGUAGCGGUGAAAUGCGUAGAUAUCCGGAGGAACACCGGUGGCGAAGGCGGCUUCCUGGACCGACACUGACGCUGAGGCGCGAAAGCUAGGGGAGUAAACGGG